GCGAUGGUGGUAUAGUGGUUAGCAUAGAUGUCUUCCAGGCAAUUGACCCGAGAUCGAUCCUCGGCUAUCGCA
rnacentral:tRNA from 1 species